AUUGAACGCUGGCGGCAGGCCUAACACAUGCAAGUCGAGCGAGCGGCGGACGGGUGAGUAAUGUUUGGGAAUCUGGCCUAUGGAGGGGGAUAACGACGGGAAACUGUAGCUAAUACCGCGUACCAUAGGAUGAGCCCACGUGGGAUUAGGUGGUUGGUGUGGUAACGGCCUACCAGGCUGACGAGUCCUAGCUGGUCUGAGAGGAUGACCAGCCACACCUGGACGAAGAGACGGCCCGAACUCCGACGUGAGGCAGCAGUGGUGAAUCUUUCGCAAUGGGGUGAAACUGACGCAGCCAUGGCGCGUGAAUGAAGAAGGCCUUCGGGUUGUAAAGUUCUUUCGGUAUUGGAGCGUUAACUACAGAAGAAGCACCGGCUAACUCCGUGCCAGCCGCCGCGGUAAUUC
rnacentral:rRNA from 1 species